UACGUAGGGUGCGAGCGUUAAUCGGAAUUACUGGGCGUAAAGCGUGCGCAGGCGGUGAUGUAAGACAGUUGUGAAAUCCCCGGGCUCAACCUGGGAACUGCACCUGUGACUGCAUCGCUGGAGUGCGGCAGAGGGGGAUGGAAUUCCGCGUGUAGCAGUGAAAUGCGUAGAUAUGCGGAGGAACACCGAUGGCGAAGGCAAGCCCCUGGGCCUGCACUGACGCUCAUGCACGAAAGCGUGGGGAGCAAACAGG
rnacentral:rRNA from 1 species